GCUUACGGCCACACCGGCGUGAGUACGCCUGAUCUCGUCCGAUCUCGGAAGCUAAGCAGGGUCGGGCCUGGUUAGUACUUGGAUGGGAGACCGCCUGGGAAUACCAGGUGCUGUAAGCU
rnacentral:rRNA from 13 species